GACGAACGCUGGCGGCGUGCUUAACACAUGCAAGUCGAACGGAAAGGCCCUGCUUUUGUGCGGUGCUCGAGUGGCGAACGCGUGAGUAACACGUGAGUAACCUGCCCUUGACUUUGGGAUAACUUCAGGAAACUGGGGCUAAUACCGGAUAGGAGCUCCUGCUUCAUGGUGGGGGUUGGAAAGAUUCGGCUGUUUGGGUUGGGCUCGCGGCUUAUGAGCUUGUGGGUGGGGUAGUGGCUGACGAAGGCGUUGACGGGUAGUCGGCCUGCGAGGGUGAACGGCCACAGUGUGCCUAUGAUAGGGCCCGGACCGCUGCGGGAGUCUGCAGUGGGUAAUUUGUUGCGGUGGGCUGAAGCUUGAUGCAACAACGCCGCGUCUGGGAGUUCUACCUUUGGUUGUUAAUCUGUUUUCGCCUGUGAUGAAGCGUAGUUGACGGUAAUGGUUAAAGAAGCACCGGCUAACUCCGUG
rnacentral:rRNA from 1 species